rnacentral:rRNA from 1 species
AGAGUGAACGCUGGCGGCAGGCCUAACACAUGCAAGUCGAACGGCAGCACAGGGGAGCUUGCUCCCUGGGUGGCGAGUGGCGGACGGGUGAGGAAAACGUCGGAAUCUGCCUAUUUGUGGGGGAUAACGUAGGGAAACUUACGCUAAUACCGCAUACGACCUACGGGUGAAAGCGGAGGACCUUCGGGCUUCGCGCAGAUAGAUGAGCCGACGUCGGAUUAGCUAGUUGGCGGGGUAAAGGCCCACCAAGGCGACGAUCCGUAGCUGGUCUGAGAGGAUGAUCAGCCACACUGGAACUGAGACACGGUCCAGACUCCUACGGGAGGCAGCAGUGGGGAAUAG